AAAUGGAUUAUAAGAACACAAGUUAAAUAAAAGAAUCUACAGGUAUUAAGCUUAAAUGACAUUGUUACAAUAAUAUAAGUCUUCCUACAUACAUUGAGAAUAUAAUAUGUAAAAGCCUCAAAUAUGCAUCAGUUUAUAACAAGUCUAUAAAAGAUAUUGCACCACAGAUAGAAAGAAUCAUCUCCUCUUAAUGAUAGAUUUAAAGAGCUUUUACACUGGAUGUAUAUACAAAAUAAAAGAAAAAGGCAUAAUCCUCAGUACUUAAAUGGUAUCAAGAAGCACGAUGCUGCUAAAAUAGCAGUUAAGGAAUGGUUUAUUAACAAAAAUAUCGCAUGCAUUAGAGAAGAAAAGUCAAGGAAAUUAGCAGUUUUAACAACAAUCAUAUACAGUGUUUCAGAGCAGGAAUUUCUUUUUCCCAUUCCUGAAUCCUGAGAAAAUUUGGUCGGGAAAUUGGGAAAAUCAGCUCUUAAAACCAGUAAUACUCACAAUGGGAAAUAAAUAUACUAUUCACAAUGUAUCUUUUAGACAUUU
rnacentral:lncRNA from 1 species